rnacentral:lncRNA from 10 species
GUCUUGGCCUACCUUAAGCCUUCUCUAUGAAAAAGACUGAGCCAGGAGUCCUGAGGGCAAGGAGUGCUGGUGAAGCCCUGGUGCCCACAAUGCAGGAACGGAAGGAUGCUGGGGUGUGCCACAGGUGGCUUAUGGAGAACUGACUGAAUUGACUGCUGCAUCAGUGCUUGGGAAAGAAAGCUGCCCUCACUCUGAAAAGAAGAUAAGUGUACUUCCAGACAGAGAGUUGAGGUGGAAAGACAGAAUUGGGGCAUAAAAGAAAAAUUUUGAGAUUUAUGAAUAAGAGUUCAAAAUUCUAAAUUCUAUCAGCAAUCCAAAUUACAAUCUUUUGAUAAAUUUAUAAUCAAAUAUUAAGGAAACAACUUCACCACCACCAAGGGACCAUCAUCCUUGAGUAAGCUCAAAAUACCCCAAAGUAAAACUGAGUGGGAAAGAAUCACCUUGAGGGCAAGGAACCCCUUUCAAUGUUAAAACCUAGAGAUAUAGAGUGAGUGGUACGAUUUUAUUUUUAUUUUUUUAAUUUAUUUCUUUUUUAAUGGAGAUGGCAAUGUUGCCCAGGCUGGUCUCAAACUCCUGGGCUUAAGUGAUCCUCUCGCCUUGGCCUUCCAAAGUGCUGGGAAAGUGAGCCACCACACCAGGUCUUACUAUUUUAUUACCCCACUUUCCAUAAAUCCAGUUCCAGUAAGUCUAUCCAAAAAAUGUAAGCACAAAAGAUGGAUGUCAAAUUCUAACAUACAUGAAGUGGGUUGAUUGGUAAGAUUCCUAUUAAUGCUUAUGACUGUGACCCCUAGUUAAAUUUUUUUUUUCAUUUAGAUACAGACAACUGAAACAAAAGAAUUGACUAUAAUGUGCACAGUUUCUGCCAAAGAACUACAGGAAUACUCUAAUCUUUUCUACUCCUUUUUAAAAUGCUGACUGCAACCUGCUAAAUUGAUUUGUGACCCACCAACAAGGUGCAACUGUAGUUUUUUUGAAAAACAGUGUUUUAAGUUACAGUAUAUGAUGUAUUAGUUAAAAGAACUGAAAACAUAAUGUAAAAUUAAACAGGAAUAGAAUCAUCACUUUUUAAAAGCAGAAAAUCUGUCCACACACUAGCACAAAUUUAGUGUUGCAACAAAACAUUAACGUUUACUUAAUGACAUGGGAAAAUACUAAAAAUGUUAAAUAAAA